rnacentral:lncRNA from 1 species
UAUUUCAGUUUAUCGAUAUUUCAGGUUAUUUUCUGUAGAAAUAAAGUUUUGAUUUAUUCACACUCUAAUUUUAAUAUGCUUUGAUCUCACUGAUGUUUAAGGUAAACCAGUUGGAAAUAAGUAUGUUAAGAUCACAUUGCAUGAAAUUUCUAUGCUACACAUCAACAUUAUAAUCCAUGUCUUUUAGUUCUAGGCAUAGUGACCAUGCCUGGAUCGAGUUAUAGUAGUUGUAACAAAGGCCGCCUUUGAUCCUAUGUUGGUAUAAUUGAUAGACUUGAUUGGUUAUAGAAACAUUUCGAUAAUAAUAGUAAUGUUGAGCUCAUACAAUUAUUUUCACAAAGCCUAAUUAUACGGUUACAUAUAUAGCCCAAAUGGGAGAUUGUUGAAUUUUUUAAUCUAGCAUUGUUAGAUCCUUAAUCUAAUGUUGGGCUUAUAUGUGAAUAAUUAUGUGUUGCGAACUGUCGUAUAUGGUUAAACUCAAUUAAAAGUGAUCUAUUAAGGUCUACAAUAAUAUAGGCUUUAAUGUAUUUAAUAAGGUGUUGACUUUUAAUGUGUAGAGACUUAAGAGUAAUUUCUAUUUCUCUGACUGGUUGAAAUAAGAAUACCUGAAGCCAAUAGAAAAAAGUUAUCUUUAUAAGUAGUCAUGAUCCUCAGGUCACAUGUAUCAUUCUAUUCUUUCUGACAUCCCAUCUAGGGGUUUGAGAUGCCUCUUCCUGCUUCAACUCUUGUGAGUUCUCUUUAAUUUUCUUUCUUUUUCUAUUUAUUUUAUUUUUUAAUUUUAUUCCUAUUUUAUUUUUCUAGUUAUGUUUGUCAAUUAGUUGAAUAAUUAUAGUAAUCGAUUUUAGAGAUGAUGAGAUCGAUUCUCUAGUGGGUCCUGAUAACUUUUCCAGAUAAGUCUUACUUCUUAAUGGCAUUAAACCGUUGAGAGAGAAAGUGAAUAAGUUGAUAAGUUUUCUAUAAACUGCUAUUUUUUAAUUUUGAAUGUUCACUUCGUUAAAAAAAGUAAUUUUUUAAUAUUUAAAUGGCCACUAUUUAUUUUUCUUUAAUUAAGGAGUUCCUAGAAGAACCAUAAAUUAAGAAUAGUGACAAUUGUAUCUAGUAUUGGUUGAAUCUAUUUUUCUUAAUUAAUGUGAUAAUAUUAUAUCACCUAAUAAAUGAUGACAUGUCAUAUGUUUCAUUACUUUUGGAUUUAAACAGUGUAUCCCAGUAACAGGUAUAUGUAGCAUGACUCUGCUUUAUACUGAAAUUAAAAUUCAAGAUUGAUUUAUGAUGUCAUAAUUGAAUUUAAAACAUUGUAAAAAUAUGUUUAUGACAUCAUAAGCUCGUCCAAGACUUUAAUGCCAAAUUAAAAAAAUUAUGUAUGUAGCAUAUCUCUUAUUUAUUUGUAACUAUGAUGUAGAUCUCGGUGAUAAUGGUAAAUUUUUUUCUAAAAUAUGCUACUUAGAUUCUUGAUUUUAAUUUAAUAGAUAGGAAUAGAUAGAGUAUAAAUUAAAUGAGAGGUAAGCUAUUCAAGUAGGCAUUUAUUUGGAUCGACUGCAUGCAAAAUAAAAAUAAUGAUGGUCUGCUUGUAAUAUUCCCAUUAUUUAAUUUUACUAAUUUAUAAAAUUAUUGUAGUAAGUUGUGGAUAUCCGAAUUUUAUAAAUUUCACACUCACUCUUUUAUAGCACCGUAAGGCGUAAAGUAGCAAUACAAUAUAACAAAGGCCCUUGAUACACUAAAGGGCUCGUAGCCUAUUGAUAAUCCAUGUGCCCAAUUGGGUUUGAGUUCCAAUAAUAGCUAGGAAUUGAUUUGGCUCAUAGAAGGGUAUGAUGAUGUAGCAUUGAUCGAUGACAUGGUAACAUCGUAUUAGAGCAAUGAUGUGGCAUUGACCGAUGAUGUGACGUUGACCGAUUAUGUGGCGUUGAUCGAUGAUGUGGUAGGAUGCUAUUGCACCAAAAUACUGAUGUGGUGUUGACCUAUGAUGUAGCAGCAUAUUAUUGGACCAAAAUGUUGAUCUAGUGUUGACUGAUGAUGUGUUCCAACCAAUUAAAGCUUGUCACGUUGCCCAAUCCUAAGCGUCCGAAUUAUUUUCAUCUGAUGACUAUGAUUUACCUAUUGUAUCUAUAAAUAAAGGGCUCUCCCUUAAUUUGAUGCCCUUGAAUUUAUUUUUUAGCUCUAUUUUCUAUAAUUCUCUCUCUAUCUUGCAUUCUCUAUGUAUUUUAAUAAAAUUAUCAUUUUACCCCUAAUUCAAUUGUGAGUGGCUAAUUUAGUUUUA